AGCUAUUUGAAUCCAUGCUGAGAUUUUGUCAGAUAUCAACAUAUUAGGGCUGAUUAGACCUCCAAGAUAAGUGAAGUU
rnacentral:pre_miRNA from 1 species